GAUGAAGAACGUAGCGAAAUGCGAUAAGUAGUGUGAAUUGCAGAAUUCAGUGAAUCAUCGAAUCUUUGAACGCACAUUGCGCCCCUUGGUAUUCCAUGGGGCAUGCCUGUUCGAGCGUCAUUUGUACCUUCAAGCUCUGCUUGGUGUUGGGUGUUUGUCUCGCCUCUGCGUGUAGACUCGCCUCAAAACAAUUGGCAGCCGGCGUAUUGAUUUCGGAGCGCAGUACAUCUCGCGCUUUGCACUCAUAACGACGACGUCCAAAAGUACAUUUUUACACGCUUGACCUCGGAUCAGGUAGGGAUACCCGCUGAACUUAAGCAUAUCAAUAAGCGGAGGA
rnacentral:misc_RNA from 1 species